GACGAACGCUGGCGGCGUGCUUAACACAUGCAAGUCGAACGCUGAAGACCUGGCUUUUGUUGGGUUGGAUGAGUGGCGAACGGGUGAGUAACACGUGAGUAACCUGCCCUCUUCUUUGGGAUAACGCCCGGAAACGGGUGCUAAUACUGGAUAUUCACUGGCCUUCGCAUGGGGGUUGGUGGAAAGGUUUGUUCUGGUGGGGGAUGGGCUCGCGGCCUAUCAGCUUGUUGGUGGGGUGAUGGCCUACCAAGGCUUUGACGGGUAGCCGGCCUGAGAGGGUGACCGGUCACAUUGGGACUGAGAUACGGCCCAGACUCCUACGGGAGGCAGCAGUGGGGAAUAUUGCACAAUGGGCGAAAGCCGGAUGCAGCGACGCCGCGUGAGGGAUGGAGGCCUUCGGGUUGUAAACCUCUUUCGCUCAUGGUCAAGCCGCAACUGUGGGUUGUGGUGAGGGUAGUGGGUAAAGAAGCGCCGGCUAACUACGUG
rnacentral:rRNA from 1 species